rnacentral:lncRNA from 1 species
UACCCAUCAUGUAUUAACAUAAGAGUCUUGAAUCUUGGCACUGAAAUUUGAAAAGCCGCUAAUCUUAAGCGCUAUUUACGAUGUGAAUCAUCCUUGAUUACAUAUUUUCAUCCAAUUGAACAGUGAAUGCGAGAGGGAACGUUUGUUUACAUUUCUCACUGCACCUUCACUUUGGAUGAAUCAUCGAUUGAAGGAACGAUUCUUUCAUCAAAAGUUAGCAGGGGGGUCAACUUCUUUCAUCGUUCACUUUCUAACUCUGAAUUGAAGACGAAUGGCAGUUUACAUUUGCCACUUUAGAUCUUCAAAAGGGACAAAUGUAAACGAGCCUUACGUCCAUAUCAAACGACUGGAAGAACGGGCUAAGCCGGUGAGAUAAUAGGAGGAGAAAGCAUGUGGAGUUCGGACUGUCCGAAACACCACAGACAAAAAAAAAUAAUCUGUAUUGAUUUCCCGUUUCCAAUUCGUGGACGUGAUAAGCACGACUGUAAACAAACAAUAAUGUUUUUCGAUCAAAAACAUAAUAAAAUGAAAUAUUGAAAAGGUUACCGCCUACGGGUAGGUUGCAGAAGAUUUUUUUCGAUUUUCAAAUAAAAAUAUGUUUUCUGCUGGAGAGUUGAACAAAAAUCAAAUCAAGUGUUAAAAAAAUACUCACAUCCUUGACUGGUGUGGAAGAGCAAAGGCGCGGGGAAGCCGGUAUUCCGCCGAGGUACCAUAUGCAGGGUCUACAUCAGAUAAGUUUAUGAAAGGUACCAAUCAACAGCAAUUAUUUGUUGACAAAUGUUCUCAAAAUCACAUGGUAAAAUCGUAGACAGUUCGACUAUCAGUCUUAUGAGUUACUUCAAAGUCAAAUAUUGAAAUCAACUUUUUAUAUUUUAAUGAAUUUAUUAUCUAAUAUGUAAAUGGUACUGUGUUCACGAUGAUCAGAAAAAAUUGUGAUGAUUUUAUCAUCUAUGUGCCAAAGUGUGCAAUUUCAUUUUAAUAAAUUAGACGUUUUCAGAUAUUAACAGCUGUACUCAUAUGGGUAUCGUAGAUUAAAAAAAAACUUUCAAGUUCAAAAAGGCAUUAAAACAACCAAUUUAUUUAGAUACAAGACUUUGAUUGUAAUUAAUUAUAAAUGUGUAUACCGUUUGCAUCAGUUGAUUAAUUAAAUGCGAUUAUCGCUGUUGAAUAUAGUAUGAUCGCAACGAUAUUAUAUACAUAUGAACAAAAACAAUAAAAUUAGAUUGCAUGGAUCAGUGUGGCAUUUUAACCAUCAGUUUUGGCAAAAUGAUGAUAAAUCUUUUUAGCUUUGAUUCUUGUAAAUUACUAAUUAUAAAAUUAAAAGAAAACCAUUUAAUGUCUUGAGAUUGACAAAGAAUGAUUAAAAUUGAGUAUCAUUCUUUCUUGAAAAUUAGGAAAUAUUUUCAUUAAAAAAAAUCUUUUAAUAAAAUAUAGUACUAACAAAAUCUAGCCUGAAACAACACGAAAAUCUCAAUCUAAAGAAAUUUGUAAAAUUCCUGACAAUCUGUGUAAAUAUAGUUGUUUGGUAUCAGACUUCGAUGAUGAAUAAUAAAAAACUGGGACAUCCAGGAUGAGGCCUUGUUUUCGGCCUCCCUCAGUAUUCUAUUUUACCCUAACCAUUACAUAUAUAAAACUUUAUAACUGUUUAACAAACUUUUUUGAAAACCUAUUUUAAAAACUUUUGAUUAACUCAAUUAAUUAGUCAUUCUUUUUAUCUAAGGUCUUGAUCGAGAUGAAAAAGGUUUGGGUCACAAGCAGUUUUCGAACUCACUACCAUCAGCUACUUGAAAACCUAUUUUAAAAAUUUUAGAUUAACCUGGAAAUGUGGUUGUCAGGCCCCCAGAGGUAACCUAUCACAACAAUGAUGCCAAUGGUUCACAAAAUGUCCUGUAAUGACUUUCUUUGGCUUUAUCGAAAUUGAUCACAGCAUAUGACACAACUAACAAUAUAACUAAUAGUUGAAUGCUCCCAAUUCUUCUGACAAAAUAUCAGAGUUAAUCAAGUUUUAAAAUAGGUUUUCAAGUAAGUUUGUUAAACAGUUAUAAAGUUUUAUAUAUGUAAUAUUUAAUCUUUUGAUUAAAUCGAGUCCUGAGAAAGGUCUCAAAGAUGGCCGAAAGCUCGACAUCCAUAAACAAUUUUUUUAUUUACCUUUAUGUCCUCAUCCUUGAUUUCCCAGUUUUUUAAAAUCUAUGUAAAAUUAAACUACAAAAUUGUAAUCACAAAAUUAAUUAUUUUUUGUUUUAUAUAUAUAUUAUUUACAAUGUACAUCAAAUAUAAGUGCAUAAUCUCUCUUUUUUGUUCGUAAUUAAUUAUUCCAUAUUAAUUAACCCAUAUUUAUUAACAAAUGUAUUGAAAUGUUAUGUAUAAUAAUUAUGCAAUUGAAAAACAAUUCGAAAGAGUACCAUUUUGAAACACCAAGCUUACAAAAUAACAAAAUAAAAUAUAAGUUUUAUUCUCAAAAAGCAUAGAGCACAUCAUGCAUGACAAGCUUAAUAAGAAAAGAAAAUUGUUAAGAAAAACAAAGGUACUGCAUAAUUCCCAAUUGAUCAAUCACUUGAGGCCACACAUAAUUAAAAAUUACGACUAGGCAACAAAAUUAAUGUUUAAUUUAUAAUAACCUAUAUCGUAAUCCUUGUUUACUUAUCCUUAUAAAAUGGUAUAUUCACAAAGAUAAUUUAUUUAAAAAAUAUUUUAUAGGUAAUAUCCAUUGAAAUCUUUUUAUUACACUUGUUUUUUCUUCGAUAGUUUUUUUAUUAAUAUAAAAAUCCAAACCUUUUACUAAUAAUAAAUGACAGAUAACAGUAUCAAUAAUGGAAUAUAAAGAAUUUUUCAAGCUGACCUUAUUCAAACUAGAAGCGAGUUUAUCUCACAAUAUGUUACAUCUGGCAGUAUUUUUCAAUUUGGCUAUUCUUAAAAAAAGCUAUUUACCAUAAUAUGACAAACAAAAUUGGAAUUGAAAAUUUAUCAGUGAAGUUUGAUUUCAUUUUAAAACUUUUAAAUCGUUAAAAAUAGAUAUUAUGAAAAUCAUGCAUGAUAUUGUUUAGUAAUUUUACAUGGUUGUGUAACAUAAAUUGCAAAAAUUAAUUGAAUUUAAAUUUUAUAUAAUUUAAAAAUAUUAUUUAUUUAUAUAACAAUUUUAUGAAAACGAUUUAAACCUUAGAAAUCAAACUCCUCCGGAAACAUCUCCAUAACUACUAGUCAUUACAUAAGUUGGAAGGUUCAAUUAAAUAAGUUUAAUGAUCUGUAUGAAAAAAAAAAAAAA